AUGGGUUCAAAAUUUUGUGGAUCACAAUUGUUUAAGCAUGCGAGGCUGGAGGAAAAUUCACACGAAUUGCUUAUAAUACAAGUUAGAAAAGCAUUCAUGACACAACAAAUUAAUUCAUCAUCAUUCAACGUUGUUGAACAAUGUCCAAAAUAUAUACAUUACCCAUUUUCAAUACAAACAUCAAUUAUAUUCAAUUCCAAAGCUAAGUUUCAAAUACAAUUCAUCAUCAUUUAA